CCUACGGGUGGCAGCAGUGGGGGAUAUUGCACAAUGGGGGGAACCCUGAUGCAGCGACGCCGCGUGAGCGAUGAAGUAUUUCGGGAUGUAAAGCUCUAUCAGCAGGGAAGAAAAUGACGGUAUCUGACUAAGAAGCCCCGGCUAACUACGUGCCAGCAGCCGCGGUAAUACGUAGGGGGCAAGAGUUAUCCGGAUUCACUGGGUGUAAAGGGAGCGUAGGCGGGAGUGCAAGUCAGAAGUGAAAGGCAAGGGCUCAACCUUUGGACUGCUUUGGAAACUGUGCUGCUAGAGUGUCGGAGAGGUAAGUGGAAUUCCUGGUGUAGCGGUGAAAUGCGUAGAUAUUAGGAGGAACACCAGUGGCGAAGGCGACUUGCUAGACGAUGACUGACGUUGAGGCUCGAAAGCGUGGGGAGCAAACAGGAUUAGAUACCCUGGUAGUC
rnacentral:rRNA from 1 species